rnacentral:sRNA from 1 species
UGCUGAGUGCCCCCGAGCUGCUGGAGUUCCUGGAGGACCAGGGCGAGGAGGGCGCCACACUGGCCCGCGCCCAGCAGCUCAUUCAGACCUAUGAGCUCAACGAGACAGCCAAGCAGCAUGAGCUGAUGACACUGGAUGGCUUCAUGAUGUACCUGUUGUCGCCAGAGGGGGCUGCCUUGGACAACACCCACACGUGUGUGUUCCAGGACAUGAACCAGCCCCUCGCCCACUACUUCAUCUCUUCCUCCCACAACACCUAUCUGACUGACUCCCAGAUCGGGGGGCCCAGCAGCACCGAGGCCUACGUUAGGUACUGUAGCAGGGGGUGAAUGUUUCCGGGAGCCCCA